rnacentral:rRNA from 1 species
CCUACGGGUGGCAGCAGUGGGGAAUAUUGCACAAUGGGCGCAAGCCUGAUGCAGCCAUGCCGCGUGUGUGAAGAAGGCCUUCGGGUUGUAAAGCACUUUCAGCGGGGAGGAAGGCGUUAAGGUUAAUAACCUUGGCGAUUGACGUUACCCGCAGAAGAAGCACCGGCUAACUCCGUGCCAGAAGCCGCGGUAAUACGGAGGGUGCAACCGUUAAUCGGAAUUACUGGGCGUAAAGCGCACGCAGGCGGUCUGUCAAGUCGGAUGUGAAAUCCCCGGGCUCAACCUGGGAACUGCAUUCGAAACUGGCAGGGUAGAGUCUUGUAGAGGGGGGUAGAAUUCCAGGUGUAGCGGUGAAAUGCGUAGAGAUCUGGAGGAAUACCGGUGGCGAAGGCGGCCCCCUGGACAAAGACUGACGCUCAGGUGCGAAAGCGUGGGGAGCAAACAGGAUUAGAUACCCGUGUAGUC